rnacentral:rRNA from 1 species
UACAGAGGUCUCAAGCGUUGUUCGGAUUCAUUGGGCGUAAAGGGUGCGUAGGCGGCGGGGAAAGUCUGAUGUGAAAUCCUGGGGCUCAACCCUGGAACUGCAUUGGAUACUUCCUUGCUAGAGUACUGGAGAGGAAACUGGAAUUUACGGUGUAGCGGUGAAAUGCGUAGAUAUCGUAAGGAAGACCAGUGGCGAAGGCGGGUCUCUGGACAGUUCCUGACGCUGAGGCACGAAGGUCAGGGGAGCAAACGGG